GGGUCAUUAGGUUGCUCGUGCCACCGGUACGUACUGGUCUCACUGAUUCCUCCUUCCUGAAGAACCGUAAUGCCAUUAAUUUGGUGUUGCGGGGAAACAGGACUGUUACUUUGAAAAAAUUAGAGUGUUUAAAGCAAGCUAACGCUUGAAUACAUUAGCAUGGAAUAAUGAAAUAGGACGAUCGAUCCUAUCUUGUUGGUUUCUAGGAUUGACGUAAUGUUUAAUAGGGAUAGUUGUG
rnacentral:rRNA from 1 species